UAGCUUCUCCCUCAGCUCGGAAUUACUAGUUGGAGAAAUGAAUGUGUCUAGACAUAUUUUAAUUCUAGAUAGAUACAUUUUUAUCCAUUUGUGCGACAAGUAAUUCUGAACGGAGGGAGUAUUUC
rnacentral:pre_miRNA from 1 species